rnacentral:lncRNA from 1 species
UUGUUUGCUCGACCUAUUUUUAUAUGCUCGGCCUACUCAUAUCUACUCAACUUAUUCUUGCAUGCUUAGCUUACUCUUAUAUGUUUGGCCUAUUCUUUCAUGCUCGACCUAUUCUUGUCUAUUCGUCCUAUUCUUUUAUGCUCGGUCUAUUCUUGUAUACAUAGUAUAUUCUUAUAUGCUUAGCUUAUAUUUUAGUCCGUUAUUAAGUCUAUUGGAG